GUCUUUUUGAUAUGAUAAAAGGUCUGGCCUGCCCACUGAUGACUUGAAUGGCUGCAGUAAUUUGACUGUACAAAGGUAGCAUAAUCAUUAGUUUUUUAAUUGAAAGCUGGAAUGAAAGGUUGGAUGAAAAAAUUACUGUCUCAAGUUGAUUUUUUGAAAUUUAUUUUUGAGUAAAAAAGCUUAAGUGUUUAUUAAAGACGAGAAGACCCUAUAGAAUUUUAUAUUUAUAUAUGAUUGGUUUUUUUAGUAUUAAUUGAGUAAUUAUUUAUAGUAUUUGGUUGGGGUGAUUAUAAAACUUAAUAAGCUUUUAUUUUUUAUUUACACUGAUUGGUGGUUAAUUGAUCCAUUUUUUAUGAUUAAAAGAUUAAAUUACCUUAGGGAUAACAGCGUAAUUUUUCUUGAGAGUUCUUAUCGAUAGAAGAGUUUGCGACCUCGAUGUUGGAUUAAAAUUUAUUUUGGGUGUAGAAGCUCAAAUAUUAGGUCUGUUCGACCUUUAAAAUUUUACA
rnacentral:rRNA from 1 species